GCCACCAAUUUCUGCUGUUGCAUGCAGGUAAAAUACUUUCAGAGGGAGCUGUGAAGUUUGGUGCUAUGCACUGAUGUGGAGCUCCCAGGCAAAAGCUGAAGCUCCUCCUGUGCUGGCUUAUGCUGCCCUGGCUGGUGGAACUUGUUUCUUGGCUGACAUAUCCAUCAGGAAAUCUGCCCACUUACACUUCAGAGGUAUUGAUGGUGUCUGAUCUGUCAGAUCAGAUUCAAGAUCAGAAUGUACUAGUACAAUGAUCUAAACUGGCUUUUUGUAUAACACAAGUCAAAGAAACUCAGAUACUUUUUCCUUAUGAGCCCCCAAGCAUCUGUUGUAUCCACAAGAUUGUUUUUUUAUUCAGAAAAAAAUAAAUUAAGGAUCACACAUUAUGAAGGAUCCAUCAGAGCACUUGUUAAUUUCUUCUGUAGUUAAUCCUCCUAAUGCUUAAAAAUGUGCCUUAUUUACAGAUUGAAUUUAUCUAGCUCCUGGAUAUCAGCAUGCUUUUUAACUUCUGGAGUAUAGCGUAGUUGUCUACAGGAAAUCCUUUUUUCUAUAUGGGUACUUGUAGAUCAUGGUCAACACCUUUUGGUCCCUUAAAUAAAGUUAAUAAAUAAGCUGUUUGAGCAUCUCA